rnacentral:rRNA from 1 species
GACGUAGGGGACGAGCGUUGUCCGGAUUCAUUGGGCGUAAAGCGCGCGUAGGCGGCCACGCAAGUCGGGUGUGAAAUCCCGGAGCUCAACUCCGGAACUGCACUCGAAACUGCGCGGCUUGAGGUAGGUAGGGGAGAUCGGAAUUCCUGGUGUAGCGGUGGAAUGCGUAGAUAUCGCUUGGAACGCCAACGGUGAAAACAGGUUGCUGGGGUUGUGCCGACGCUGAGACACGAAAGCCAGGGGAGCAAACGGG